rnacentral:rRNA from 1 species
UACGAAGGGGGCUAGCGUUGUUCGGAAUUACUGGGCGUAAAGCGCACGUAGGCGGAUUUGUUAGUCAGGGGUGAAAUCCCGGGGCUCAACCUCGGAACUGCCUUUGAUACUGCAAGUCUCGAGUCCGGAAGAGGUGGGUGGAAUUCCUAGUGUAGAGGUGAAAUUCGUAGAUAUUAGGAAGAACACCAGUGGCGAAGGCGGCCCACUGGUCCGGUACUGACGCUGAGGUGAGAAAGCGUGGGGAGCAAACAGG